UUUUUCGUGGAGUUAUAGUACAGAAUAAUAGAUGUAGCAAAUAGAAAGUCAGUGUUUGAUGCAAGCUGACACGUUGUUAUUCUGGAAUUGGGAGCUCGAUAACACGACCAUGUGAAUAUUUUUGAGAGAAUAGAUUUAAUCUAUUAAUAAAGGUGGUACCGCGCGACAGCGUCCUUAUU
rnacentral:misc_RNA from 1 species